CCUGUGCCUAGAGGCAUUGCAGGUGUGGCUGCUGUGUCGAAUGUUCAUCAGCAGGUGGCAGAGAGGGCUAUGUCUAUGCUCCAUGUCCUGACCUGUGAACAACUGAAUGAGUAGCAGCCUAAUAGU
ensembl:snoRNA LOC120098387 small nucleolar RNA SNORA17